rnacentral:rRNA from 1 species
AGCAGCCGCGGUAAUUCCAGCUCCAAUAGCGUAUAUUAAAGUUGCCGCAGUUAAAAAGCUCGUAGUUGAAUUUCGGGACCAAUAUGCCGGUCGUGCCUCGGUACGUACUGGCAUCGUUGGUUUCUCCCUUCUGACGAACCAUGAUGUCAUUUAUUUGGUGUCGUGGGGAAUCAGGACUGUUACUUUGAAAAAAUUAGAGUGUUUAAAGCAGGCUCACGCUUGAAUACAUUAGCAUGGAAUAAUGAAAUAGGACGUUUGAUUCUAUUUUGUUGGUUUCUAGGAUCGACGUAAUGAUUAAUGGGGAUAGUUGGGGGCAUUAGUAUUCAAUUGUCAGAGGUGAAAUUCUUGGAUUUAUUGAAGACUAACUACUGCGAAAGCAUUUGCCAAGGAUGUUUUCAUUAAUCAAGAACGAAAGUUAGAGGUUCGAAGGCGAUCAGAUACCGCCCUAGUUCUAACCGUAAACGAUGCCAACCAGCGAUCUGUAGGGCAUAAAUUUAUGACCUACAGGAGCUUACC